AGGAGAAGUUGAAGAAGAAGAAGGAGAAGAAGAAGGAGGAGAAGAAGAAGGAGAAGGAGGAGGAGAAGAAGUAGUAGAAGAAGGAGAUUAACAUGAAGAGGAUGAUUACAAUUCUUUUCUUAUUUUGAGCUUAUUAUGUCAUUUAGGAGGAAGAUAUGCUAAGUUAUAAGCUAACAAAGGUUCUUGUGAUGUUUAUUACCUAACUAAGCUAAUUGUGUCAUUUUGGAGCUAAAGUAGCUAAUUAUGUCAUUUUGGAGCUAAAUUAGCUAAUUAUGUCAUUUUGGAGAAUAUUUAGCUAAGUAUGUCUUUGUUGGGAAAAUAAGCUAAAGAGAAG
rnacentral:lncRNA from 1 species